AUGGAGGCGGCUCUCGUGAGUGUGGCGACGGGGGUCCUGAAGCCCGUCCUGGAGAAGCUGGCAGCUCUGCUUGGUGACGAGUACAAACGGUUCAAGGGAGUGCGCAAGGAUAUCAAGUCCCUCACUCGCGAGCUCCCUGCCAUGGAGGCUUUUCUCCUCAAGAUGUCCGAGGACGAGGAUCCUGAUGUGGAGGAUAAAGUUUGGAUGAAUGAGGUGCGAGAGCUAUCUUAG
rnacentral:rRNA from 1 species